rnacentral:rRNA from 1 species
UUUAAGCAUAUAAAUAAGCGGAGGAGAAGAAACUUACAAGGAUUCCCCUAGUAACGGCGAGCGAACCGGGAUCAGCCCAGCUUGAGAAUCGGGCGGCGGUGCCGUUCGAAUUGUAGUCUGGAGAAGCGUCCUCAGCGACGGACCGGGCCCAAGUCCCCUGGAAAGGGGCGCCGGGGAGGGUGAGAGCCCCGUCCGGCCCGGACCCUGCCGCACCACGAGGCGCUGUCGGCGAGUCGGGUUGUUUGGGAAUGCAGCCCCAAUCGGGCGGUAAAUUCCGUCCAAGGCUAAAUACGGGCGAGAGACCGAUAGCGAACAAGUACCGCGAGGGAAAGAUGAAAAGGACUUUGAAAAGAGAGUCAAAGAGUGCUUGAAAUUGCCGGGAGGGAAGCGGAUGGGGGCCGGCGAUGCGCCCCGGUCGGAUGCGGAACGGCGAGAGCCGGUCCGCCGCUCGGCUCGGGGCGCGGACCGCUGCGGGCCGCUCGGGCAGCCCAAUCUCGGACGCAGCGUGCGUUGGAAGGGAUACUGUCGGAGCGGCCGAGGACGCGGCGCGCGCCCACGGCGUGCCCCUCGGGGCACCCGCGCGCCGGAGGCAUCGGCCAGCGGGCUCCCCAUCCGACCCGUCUUGAAACACGGACCAAGGAGUCUGACAUGCGCGCGAGUCGACGGGUGCGGAAACCCGGAAGGCGCAAGGAAGCUGACGGGCGGGAACCCCCUCGAGGGGUUGCACCGCCGGCCGACCCCGAUCUUAUGUGAAGGGUUCGAGUUGGAGCGUGCCUGUCGGGACCCGAAAGAUGGUGAACUAUGCCUGAGCGAGGCGAAGCCAGAGGAAACUCUGGUGGAGGCCCGAAGCGAUACUGACGUGCAAAUCGUUCGUCUGACUUGGGUAUAGGGGCGAAAGACUAAUCGAACCAUCUAGUAGCUGGUUCCCUCCGAAGUUUCCCUCAGGAUAGCUGGAGCUCGAGCGCGAGUUCUAUCGGGUAAAGCCAAUGAUUAGAGGCAUCGGGGGCGCAACGCCCUCGACCUAUUCUCAAACUUUAAAUAGGUAGGACGGCGCGGCUGCUUGGUUGAGCCGCGCCACGGAAUCGAGAGCUCCAAGUGGGCCAUUUUUGGUAAGCAGAACUGGCGAUGCGGGAUGAACCGGAAGCCGGGUUACGGUGCCGAACUGCGCGCUAACCUAGACCCCACAAAGGGUGUUGGUCGA